GUUACGCACGAGGAAGAGUUAGCA
rnacentral:siRNA from 1 species